CAAUCGGUUCAGACCAGAAGAACGCUCGCUCGCUAGACUUUUACUAUUUCUGUAAAUCAAAAUCCUUUUCGCAAGCUAUUCUCUGGUACUGUUCUUAGGUUUCGAAAUCAUUUUUUUCUUCUGGCGUUUUCAUCGCGCUGGAGGUUUUGGAGUCAGCUCCUCACCGUCUCCAAUCGUCGUCUGCUAUCCUUCGCCGUCGCAGUCAGCUCCUCACCGUCUCGGAGCUUCACCGUGACCAAGCCUCUUCGUCUUGCUCUGCCGUCAUCGUUGGGCUCCAGAUCCGGCGAAGAGAAAGCUUCGAUCCUCUCCAAUGGUGGAGUGUUACGUAGUUGCAAGACAGGUCCCUGAACUUUUGCUUUUGAUUUCUGAUCUUUGUUUCCAGAGCAGCCCGAGUUUGAAGAUGGUUUUAACGAGAAUGCAGAAGCUUCAAGAUCUAGCACCAACCAUGCUGGAGCUCUGGAAUUUGAUGGAUACACCCAUAGAAGAGCAGCAAGAGUAUCAGCACAUUACCUGCAAUAUAGCUGCAUCAGAACAUGAAAUAACUCAAGCCAAUAGUCUCUCUGAAGACUUCAUCCAAUACGUUGAGGCAGAAGUUGUCCGAUUGGACGAAGUAGAGAACUUUUUAUGAAGAAGAGAUCAGAGCUAGAGGAGAUAUGUAGGAAAACCCACAUGUUACCAGUUUCAGAUAGUGCUAUGGAUCAGACUAUAGUAGCCAUAGAAUCUGGUAUUGCGGACACCACAUUGGUCCUGGAGCAUCUUGAGCCACAUAUAUCUAAGGUCAAAGAGGAAGCUUCAAGUAGGAAAGAGAUACUUGCUCAAGAAGAGAUCUUGAGCAACAUAUUGUGGACGCCACAGUCUCUGGCUUAUGAUCGAAGAGGCAGAGGAAAAGACUAUGUGAGGUAUCUUACUUGAAUCCACAACUCAAUCAAAACCUCAAGGAGGUGAAGUCGUGGCUGUGGGUGAAGGAAGAUGAUAAUCUAGGCUUAGCAAAGUGUCUUGAGGUAGAGGAAGCUAUAAGGUAUUCCGUGCGAUGGCUCUAUAUGGGUCUGAGCCUAAUGCGUAUACCUAUAGUUAAUUCUAUAUGGAAACAGCAACGCUGAGCCUGUGGCUGAAGCUUGUGCCCAGCUGACUCAAGAGUUCUUUAAGGGUGAUACUCUCUGCCGCUUGAUCACUUCACUUCAUUAUUUGAACUUGGAGGUAAUUUCAGAUUCAGACAAAGCAAUGCUGCAGGAGAUUCAUUGUAACGGUAGGGUGGGUGAGAACUUGAAGGAGGAGCUUGAGAACUUUAGUGUGCAGUUAGGGGAGCUGAGAAGGAAUAAAGCUGAGAAUGAAUCGGUUUAAGGAAGUUAUUGAUCAGUUGUUGAGCUUGUCGUUUCAGUUUGGAGAUUUUACGGAUUAUCUGAAGUGGUUUGGUGCAGAAGAGACUGAUCUUUCGCUUCACAAGUUGGAGGAAAUGCGUAGGCAAUUGGCAAUAAAGGAUGAGCUUGAUGGUGGUGAGGAGAAGAGCUUGAUGCUUUUAGUUCAUUUUUGAUAUAUAGAGUUUUAAUUCAUGUUCUCAUUUAUUGACUUUGUGUGUUUUAAAUUUGGAGUUUAACUCCAUGUACUCGAUACCCUUCAU